rnacentral:pre_miRNA from 1 species
AUAGUACUCCCUCUGUCCCAAUAUUCUUGUCUUAAAUUUGUCUAUAUAUGAAUGUAUCUAGUCACGUUUUAGUAUCAAGAUACAUCCAUUUUUAGAUAAAUUUAAGACAAGAAUUUUGGGACUGAGGG